rnacentral:rRNA from 1 species
UACAGGGGGGGCAAGCGUUGUUCGGAAUUACUGGGCGUAAAGGGUUCGUAGGUGGCCACUUAAGUCAGACGUGAAAUCCUUCAGCUUAACUGGGGAACUGCGUCUGAUACUGAGUGGCUUGAGUGCAGGAGAGGAAUGCGGAAUUCCAGGUGUAGCGGUGAAAUGCGUAGAUAUCUGGAGGAACACCGGUGGCGAAGGCGGCAUUCUGGACUGUAACUGACACUGAGGAACGAAAGCCAGGGGAGCAAACGGG